rnacentral:rRNA from 1 species
CGCUGGCGGCAUGCCUUACACAUGCAAGUCGAACGGCAGCGCGGGGCAACCUGGCGGCGAGUGGCGAACGGGUGAGUAAUAUAUCGGAACGUACCCUGGAGUGGGGGAUAACGUAGCGAAAGUUACGCUAAUACCGCAUACGAUCUAAGGAUGAAAGUGGGGGAUCGCAAGACCUCAUGCUCCUGGAGCGGCCGAUAUCUGAUUAGCUAGUUGGUAGGGUAAAAGCCUACCAAGGCAUCGAUCAGUAGCUGGUCUGAGAGGACGACCAGCCACACUGGAACUGAGACACGGUCCAGACUCCUACGGGAGGCAGCAGUGGGGAAUUUUGGACAAUGGGCGCAAGCCUGAUCCAGCAAUGCCGCGUGAGUGAAGAAGGCCUUCGGGUUGUAAAGCUCUAUUGUCAGGGAAGAAACGGUGUUUUCUAAUACAGAACGCUAAUGACGGUACCUGAAGAAUAAGCACCGGCU